GUCCUUUUGCGGACAUAUGAUAAAAUUGGAAUGAUACAUAGAAUAUUAGCAUGACCCAUGCGCAAGGAUGACACGCUCAAAUAAAAAAUGGUCUAAAUUUUU